rnacentral:rRNA from 1 species
CCUACGGGAGGCAGCAGUGAGGAAUAUUGGUCAAUGGGCUUACGCCUGAACCAGCCAAGUCGCGUGAGGGAAGACUGCCCUAUGGGUUGUCAACCUCUUUUGUCAGGGAGCAAUUGGCGCUACGUGUAGCGUUAUCGAGAGUACCUGAAGAAAAAGCAUCGGCUAACUCCGUGCCAGCAGCCGCGGUAAUACGGAGGAUGCGAGCGGUAUCCGGAUUUAUUGGGUUUAAAGGGUGCGUAGGCGGAAUGCCAAGUCAGCGGGAAAAUCGCGGGGCUCAACCUCGCUCCGCCGUUGAAACUGGCGUUCUUGAGUGGGCGAGAAGUAUGCGGAAUGCGUGGUGUAGCGGUGAAAUGCAUAGAUAUCACGCAGAACUCUGAUUGCGAAGGCAGCAUACCGGCGCCCAACUGACGCUGAAGCACGAAAGCGUGGGUAUCGAACAGGAUUAGAUACCCGGGUAGUC